rnacentral:rRNA from 1 species
AGCCGCCGCGGGAACACCGGCGGCCCGAGUGGUGAUCGUGAUUAUUGGGUCUAAAGGGUCCGUAGCCGGUUUGGUCAGUCCUCCGGGAAAUCUGAUAGCUCAACUAUUAGGCUUUCGGGGGAUACUGCCAGACUUGGAACCGGGAGAGGUAAGAGGUACUACAGGGGUAGGAGUGAAAUCUUGUAAUCCCUGUGGGACCACCUGUGGCGAAGGCGUCUUACCAGAACGGGUUCGACGGUGAGGGACGAAAGCUGGGGGCACGAACCGGAUUAGAUACCCGGGUAGUCCCAGCCGUAAACGAUGCUCGCUAGGUGUCAGGCAUGGCGCGACCGUGUCUGGUGCCGCAGGGAAGCCGUGAAGCGAGCCACCUGGGGAGUACGGCCGCAAGGCUGAAACUUAAAGGAAUUGGCGGGGGAGCACAACAACGGGUGGAGCCCUGCGGUUUAAUUGGACUCAACGCCGGACAACUCACCGGGGGCGACAGCAAUAUGUAGGCCAAGCUGAAGACUUUGCCUGAAUCGCUGAGAAGAGGUGCAUGG